rnacentral:rRNA from 1 species
ACGGAGGAUCCGAGCGUUAUCCGGAUUUAUUGGGUUUAAAGGGUGCGUAGGCGGUUCAAUAAGUCAGUGGUGAAAGUUUUCGGCUUAACCGGAAAAUUGCCGUUGAUACUGUUGGGCUUGAAUUUGGUUGCUGUGAGUGGAAUGUGUGGUGUAGCGGUGAAAUGCUUAGAUAUCACACAGAAUAUCGAUUGCGAAGGCAUCUCACAAAGCCAAUAUUGACGCUGAUGCACGAAAGUGUGGGGAUCAAACAG